rnacentral:lncRNA from 10 species
GGCGGGACGGCCGCGGGCUCUGCGCCCGCCCUCGGCGCGGACCCUGGGCCCCGACCCCGCGGUCGCCGGGGCUCCCCUUCCUCUGUCCCAGUGCGCCCAGCCCCGCGCUCCGCACCCGGGCACCCCCGCGGGGUUCUCCUGAGUUCCUGGAGCUCCCGGGGCUGGCGCUCACGCCGUGAGAGGGAAAAGAGAGGUUAAAACCAAGACAUGGACAAAGCCUCCGAAUGAAGGCAGCCCUUUAAAUGGAAUAAAUUUGGUUUCAUGGCACAUUAAUGGGGUGUCUUCUCUCCGAAGACACAGAGACAACUACAGUAGGUCUGGGGGCCGUCAGGGAUUGGAGGAACGAAGGUAAGAAAAGGAAGAAGGUAAGAAAAAGAGGUCCCUACCUCUGUGAGGUAGGGACAGUGCUGAACAGCAGGGCUGGGAGAGCCCACAGGGAGGUGGCCAGGAUGGCCACAGGGCCUGGGGAGGACCAGGUGGGGCACCAUCCUGCGGUAGAGAAUGCCCGUCACCUGCCCUAGGGGCCACCCAGAAUGCAGAUUAAAUAAGUAUUUGGGAAUGGCACAGGAGCUUUUCCAUUUUCGUGGGUUAGAGGAAAGCUGCUGCGUUCAAGAGGAUAACGUGGGACCUGAGCAUUCUGGUAAGUCAACCCCACAUUCAUGGAAAGCCACGGGCUCUGUUUUACUGAUAAGGAACUGAAGUCCCACAGAGGAAGUGGCCAGGCUCACUCACACACAGCAUGCACUUGAAGCUUUCUGUGGAAAUCAGAAACCUCCGGGGCUCAGGCGCUGUAGUGGUGGCCUGGUGACUCUGACCCCUUGAAGGAGAAGCAUCUGUGAAGGUGCUGUCCAGGACAAGUAGGGUGCUCUACGGUAAAGGACAUGGUGGCCUGACCUGCUCCAGAGCAGGGAGGCCUCCCUUGAGGAAAUAAGAUAAACCCAGACUUUAAGGAUAAGCAGAAACCAGCUAGGUGAACUGGAGUGGGAACAGCACGUGAAAAGGCCCUGGUUUAGGAAGGAGCACCACUCCUUCAGAGCACAGAAAGGCCAGGAUGGCCGAAGCAUAGGGAACAACAGGAAAGUGACAUAAAUUGAGGCUGCAGAGGUAGAAGAAGGGCCUUAUUGGUCGUGCUAGGAAUUUGGAAUUCUGCAAAGAAGCCUGGGAAACAGAUUUUGGUGACACUCGCCUUCUCUUUAAUGUGCAGUUUCAGUUCUGUUGGUGUGAUUCUGCAUUGGAGAUGGCGUGCUGUAACGAAUGGCCAGGAGCUUAAGAGUCAUGCAGACUUGGGAGGCCUGGCCUUGCCACGCCCAGCUGCAUGGCCAUCCUCCUCCUGUUUCUGGCCGUUCUGUUUCUAAACCUUGGGGUUCUGAUAUUCCUACAUGUAAACUAGGGGCUGUAAUAGGAAUCUCACAGUCAAAGUGGAGGAAGGAGGAGCUUGAGAUUGAAAAAUCAGUUUGAGAAGCAGCCACCUUGACUGGCUUCACUCUAAUAGCCUGGACGCUGCCUCCACACUCCAGGUGCACUGCUCAGCAUUCUCCAAGAAGAUCAUUAAGGCAGACCCUACGUGUUAAAUUUCAAUCAGUUUCAUUGAGCAAAUAUGCUGUUAAAUAGAGACUGCUGUGUGCUGCGUCAGUGUGCCUUAUGGGCAAAUGUGAUGGUGACUAUAAAUGCAGACCAAGCAGUCCUUCCCACACUGUGUACACAAAGAAAGGAGCUCUGGAACUGGGAGCCAGGACAUCUGCAGGAGGAGAAUUCUGAAGUGAAAGGAGGCCUGGAUAUUGGUUGCAAGGCCUUGUCCCUGGAGCCUGGAUGCUCUCAUACCUUCUACAUCUGGGCCUCUGGGUCCAGGACAGUGCCAGGGAGAGUUCAUAGAAACAAAUGUGUUGAAGACCUUAGCGGUUGUCUGACUCUGAGACAGUUACCUGGCCACUCUUAAGUUUCCUCAUUUUUUUUUUAAUUUUACUUUAAGUUGCGGGAUACAUGUGCAGAACGUGCAGGUUUGUUACAUAGGUAUGCAUGUGCCAUGGUGGUUUGCUGCACCUGUCAACCUUUCAUCUAGGUUUUAAGCCCCUCAUGCAUUAGAUAUUUGUCCUAAUGCUCUCCUUCCCCUUGGCCCCCUGUCAGGUCCUGGUGUGUGUGUUGUCUGGCCCCCACCGUGUCCAUGUGUUCCUAUUGUUCAUCUCCCAUUUAUGAGUGAGAAUAUGUGGUGUUUGGCUUUCUCUUCCUGUGUUAGUUUGCUGAGGAUGAUGGUUUCCAGCUUCAUCCAUGUCCCUGCAGAGGACAUGAUCUCAUCCUUUUCAUGGCUGCAUAGUAUUCCGUGUUGUGUAUAUACCACAUUUUCUUUAUCCAGUCUUUCAUUGGUGGACAUUUGGGUUGGUUUCAUGUCUUUGCUAUUGUAAAUAGUGCUGCAAUAAACAUUAUGUGUGCAUGUGUCUUUAUAGUAAAAUGAUUUCUAUUCCUU